rnacentral:lncRNA from 1 species
AGACAGAAUCUUAUCUUAGUGAGCAGAUUGAAUCUGAGGGGCUACAGGAUGGUAGCUGGUGGAAGAAUUUUGAAGGUGUUGUACAGCGAUUUAGUUAUUUUAGAAGAGAAGAAGAGGACGAGAAGAUAUUACUACUUGGUAGGGAGUGCAGUGUGAGAUGGAGCUUCAGGAGCUAAGAGGAGCCCAGAGCAAGGUGGAGCUCCAGAUGGAGGUGGAUCGGACACUAGAUGGGAGACUUAGGAGGAUGAGAGGCGAUAUCGCAGAGUGAAGUUUCUAUUACCGUAG